AUUGAACGCUGGCGGCAGGCCUAACACAUGCAAGUCGAGCGGAUGAAGGGAGCUUGCUCCUGGAUUCAGCGGCGGACGGGUGAGUAAUGCCUAGGAAUCUGCCUGGUAGUGGGGGAUAACGUCCGGAAACGGGCGCUAAUACCGCAUACGUCCUGAGGGAGAAAGUGGGGGAUCUUCGGACCUCACGCUAUCAGAUGAGCCUAGGUCGGAUUAGCUAGUUGGUGGGGUAAAGGCCUACCAAGGCGACGAUCCGUAACUGGUCUGAGAGGAUGAUCAGUCACACUGGAACUGAGACACGGUCCAGACUCCUACGGGAGGCAGCAGUGGGGAAUAUUGGACAAUGGGCGGAAGCCUGAUCCAGCCCUGCCGCGUGGUUUAAGAAGGUCUUCGGAUUGUAAAGCACUUUAAGUUGGGAGGAAGGGCAGUAAGUUAAUACCUUGCUGUUUUGACGUUACCAACAGAAUAAGCACCGGCUAACUUCGUG
rnacentral:rRNA from 1 species